rnacentral:rRNA from 1 species
AUGGCUCAGGAUGAACGCUAGCUACAGGCUUAACACAUGCAAGUCGAGGGGCAGCAUGGGAGUUGCUGCAACUCCGAUGGCGACCGGCGCACGGGUGAGUAACGCGUAUCCAACCUGGCCCUUAGUAGGGAACAGCCCGGCGAAAGUCGGAUUAAUGCCCUAUGUUUUCCAAUGAUGGCAUCUGACUUGGAACAAAGAUUCAUCGCUAAGGGAUGGGGAUGCGUCUGAUUAGCUUGUCGGCGGGGUAACGGCCCACCGAGGCGACGAUCAGUAGGGGUUCUGAGAGGAAGGUCCCCCACAUUGGUACUGAGACACGGACCAAACUCCUACGGGAGGCAGCAGUGAGGAAUAUUGGUCAAUGGGCGUAAGCCUGAACCAGCCAAGUAGCGUGCAAGGAUGACUGCCCUAUGGGUUGUAAACUGCUUUUAUGCGGGAAUAAAGUCAGGUACGCGUACCUGUUUGUAUGUACCGCAUGAAUAAGGACCGGCUAAUUCCGUGCCAGCCGCCGC